GUAAAACUUAAAUUGUCAAACGACAAACAACGUGUACUCGUAAUUUGUGAACAGUUUUUUUUAUGUAUUAAGAAGAAACUAAUAUUGUGUUUUAAAAUGUCUAAUUGUGCAGGACAUUUUUUAAGAAGAUUACUGGAAUGAUAAUGAUGUUUUGAAACCUUAAUGUACAAUUUGUCACUGAUUACAAUAGUCGGUAUUGGUUUAUCAAGCUACAUAUCAAUAUGUCAUUUAUGAUUAUUCAGUUACUAGUUAGAUGAAGAAAAUAUUGCUUUCUACUUGGAAUCUUAGAAGAAUAAAAUAUUAGCAUUUAACACAACCAUACUCAACCAGCGGCCCCCGGGCUGCAUACAGCCCGCCGAUUAUUUUUAUGUGGCCCAAAAAGAACUCAUAUUAUAAAUAUUUAAAGGCUAUAAAAAAAAAUAUAUAUUAAUAUAAAAAAUAACAAAACAAUUAUAUUUUGAAGAUGUUUAACG